UGGACAUCAAUUUAGAUGAACUCAUA
rnacentral:piRNA from 1 species